rnacentral:misc_RNA from 1 species
AAAUUUACUAUGGUUAGCUGCUGGCAUAGGCUUGCAGCGGCCAGCGGGAGCUUCUUCUGUCAUUUUAAAUGCGCGUGGGGCUACCUUGCCGUUUUUUACCACUUCAGCUUUACACUUUUGCCAAUUAUCUUAACAGUGUUACAUUCUUGCCCAUAAUUGUUGAAACAAACAAACAACAUAAUUUUUUUUUUAACCAGAUUAAUCAUUUAUAAAAUUCAGUUGAUCACUGCUAUCUUAAAUUCAAAGUAAUUUAAUAUAAUAGUAAUUAUUUUAGGCCAUAAAAUUGAAUGGGACAAAAGCACAUCAUUUUUAUGCUAUCUUUUUUUCUUCUUUUUUAA